rnacentral:lncRNA from 1 species
GAAAAUAUGAGCAAAACCAAACCGCUCCAGACCUGCUGUUUAGCCUGUUCUCAUGUGUGACUAAACAGAGUGAGCAGCCUGGUCACAGCUGUGUGGGAGUGGGCUCGAGUGACAGAGCAAAACAUGUGAGCUGCAGGUGAUGGAUGGAGAGCUCUCCCUGCUUCUCUGGGCUGAAUUGUGCCCUUGGCUUGGACUGGCUUCAGCUUUCCAUGGGAAACCCUGCCUGUCCCUGCCAGCCUGGCUGUGUGCCUGGCUGUGUGCCUGGCUGUGUGCGUGGGUGAUGGAUGGUGGCUUGGAUGUCACCCAGGCAACGAAACCUUGCUGGUGUGCUCCUGGACGUGUGGCAUUGCCUGGGGCUGUGUGUGGGGACUCAGAUUCCCUGCUCUUCCCCACGGCUCCUGAGGGACAUGAGCAGCUCUGACCUCUCUGGAGGAGUAUGGAGGGAUGAAAUGGGAAGCCUUGGAGAGCCAGUGCCCAAACAGAGACUCAUAAACAUUCUCAUACAGGAGGAGAAAACAAGGUGUCAGAAUCUCGAAGUCUGUGUUGUGGUGGGGCUCGGUGUGUCCAGCACGGCUGCCUUGGAUGAGGCACCCACACUCAAUUACUCGUGUCCCUGCUGUGCACAGAGCCUGAAGGUUUCAAAAGGUUUUGGCUCACAUCUCUUCCUUUCAGAGGCUACUUCCCCCAUGAGUGUAGAUGCCACUGCACAUCCCAGAUCUCCUUCCAUGACAAUCCCAGGGCACUGAGAGGCAUUAGGACAUUUUUCAUCAGGGCACUGAACCAGAAGGCUGAAAACUUGAGUUAGUGUGAGUGGGACAAGGGGUUGGGGUGCCCAUCUUCAGAGAUCUUCAAAGUUUGACCAGAAAAUGCCCAGAGCAAACUGAUUUCAUCUUUGAAGCUGGUCCUUGGAAAUUGGAAUGAGAAGUUGGACCACAGACUGCCAGAGGUCCCUCCUUACCUAAAUGAGUCUGUGAUUGCAGGCAUGGCUUGAGGUAAAACUCAUCCUUCUGGUCCUGAGGUCUCCAUCUCCAGUGGAGGGAAAGUCACCUUCCUGAUUCUGCAUUACCCAUCCAGCUGAAAUCAUAAAGCGGAAAGUCAAAAAUAAAAUACCCAAUCCCUUUUUUCA